GCCGGGGCUCUGCGGGUGGCGGCAUGGUUUAUUGUCUGGGCUGUGGACAUAUUUUCACAUGCGUGUCAGAACUCAACAAGCCGUGUCCUUGAAGACAUGCGGUGUAUUAUAUGACAACAAUGCCUUGGUCGAGCCAAAGGGGGACAGACAGCAAACACGUUGAUGUAAAGAUCCUCUAUAAAAUGCGCUUAGAAGAAAGUGACCGUCUUCGGCUAGCUCGACUUGGGGCUCGGGUGUCGUUCCCAGGGCUGGGGUGGCGGGCGUCCCUCAGCGGCCUGCAGGCGUCCCUGGGACUGUCACUCACCGGCCGCUGCUGCCGAAGCCUUGACCCUGCCACGUCUCUCACGCCCCACGGAUUCACGACCAAUGUCAGUUUGUACUUUAUCAUUCUGCCCAAGAAGUCCUCACCAAAGCCAAGGUCAGAAGACAUCCUUCUGUGACUUCCUCCAGAAUCUCAAUUUGCAUGUGUGUCCCUCCCCCCAUCUCGGUCUGUGACCCACUUUGAGUCGGUCUGUGUGUGCCAUAACACAAAGACCACAGUCCCUCAUGUCCACACAGACACUGGAUGCCACAGCGCCACGGACUGAAAGUGUUUCUAUCUCCCCAUUCCAGUGCCCGUGUGAUGCUUAAUGGUCCUCCAUCAGGCAUGACCUCACCUGUAAGGUUUCUGCAAACGGCUUUAUCAGAUUGGGACCUUCCACUUCCAGUUUGCAAGUAGUUCUUUAAAAAAAUCACAAACAGGCUCGA